rnacentral:tRNA from 1 species
GCGUCGGUGGUAUAACGGUUAGCAUAGCUGCCUUCCAAGCAGUUGACCGGGUUCGACUCCCGGCCGACGCA